AUAAUGCAGUCGACGCUUUGUGGUUCAACUGAUUUGAAGAGCUUGCUCAGAUAUGACGAUGGACAUUGCAAAGAGUGGCGAACGGGUGAGUAACACGUGGGAAACCUACCUCUUAGCAGGGGAUAACAUUUGGAAACAGAUGCUAAUACCGUAUAACAAUGACAACCGCAUGGUUGUUAUUUAAAAGAUGGUUCUGCUAUCACUAAGAGAUGGUCCCGCGGUGCAUUAGCUAGUUGGUAAGGUAAUGGCUUACCAAGGCGAUGAUGCAUAGCCGAGUUGAGAGACUGAUCGGCCACAAUGGGACUGAGACACGGCCCAUACUCCUACGGGAGGCAGCAGUAGGGAAUCUUCCACAAUGGGCGAAAGCCUGAUGGAGCAACGCCGCGUGUGUGAUGAAGGGUUUCGGCUCGUAAAACACUGUUGUAAGAGAAGAAUGACAUUGAGAGUAACUGUUCAAUGUGUGACGGUAUCUUACCAGAAAGGAACGGCUAAAUACGUGCCAGCAGCCGCGGUAAUACGUAUGUUCCAAGCGUUAUCCGGAUUUAUUGGGCGUAAAGCGAGCGCAGACGGUUAUUUAAGUCUGAAGUGAAAGCCCUCAGCUCAACUGAGGAAUUGCUUUGGAAACUGGAUGACUUGAGUGCAGUAGAGGAAAGUGGAACUCCAUGUGUAGCGGUGAAAUGCGUAGAUAUAUGGAAGAACACCAGUGGCGAAGGCGGCUUUCUGGACUGUAACUGACGUUGAGGCUCGAAAGUGUGGGUAGCAAACAGGAUUAGAUACCCUGGUAGUCCACACCGUAAACGAUGAGUGCUAGGUGUUUGAGGGUUUCCGCCCUUAAGUGCCGCAGCUAACGCAUUAAGCACUCCGCCUGGGGAGUACGACCGCAGGUUGAAACUCAAGGAAUUGACGGGGACCCGCACAAG
rnacentral:rRNA from 1 species